rnacentral:rRNA from 1 species
GACGAACCGAGCGAACGUUGUUCGGAAUCACUGGGCUUAAAGGGCGCGUAGGCGGGCUGCCGAGUCCGGGGUGAAAGCCCCCCGCUCAACGGGGAACGGCCUCGGAUACUGGCGGCCUGGAGGCGGGUAGGGGCGUGCGGAACUGUGGGUGGAGCGGUGAAAUGCGUUGAGAUCCACAGGAACUCCGGUGGCGAAGGCGGCACGCUGGACCCGAACCGACGCUGAGGCGCGAAAGCCAGGGGAGCGAACGGG